AUGGGGAAGGACGGGAAGGGGAAGGAGGCCAAGGGGAAGGGCAAGCAGGCGGCCGGCUCCUCCGACGACGCCGGAGGCGGCAAGGGAGGCAAGGGCAAGGGCAAGGGCGGCAAGGGAGGCGACGACCUCGGCACCUGCACCUUCGUCAAAGCUAGGCACGUGUUGUGCGAGAAACAGGGGAAGAUCAAUGAGGCGUACAAGAAGCUGCAGGAAGGCUGGUUGGACAACGGGGACAAGGUCCCUCCUGCUGAGUUUGCCAAGGUAGCCCAAGAAUUCUCUGAAUGCCCAUCAGGAAAGAAAGGUGGGGAUCUUGGAUGGUUCCCGCGUGGCAAAAUGGCUGGUCCUUUCCAGGAGGUUGCGUUUAACACACCUGUGGGAGCUACUAGUGCACCAUUCAAGUCUACGCACGGGUACCACUUCAUCCUCUGUGAAGGCAGGAAGAACUGA
rnacentral:rRNA from 1 species